rnacentral:rRNA from 1 species
UACGUAGGGUGCGAGCGUUAAUCGGAAUUACUGGGCGUAAAGGGUGCGCAGGCGGUUCUGUAAGUCAGAUGUGAAAUCCCCGGGCUUAACCUGGGAAUUGCGUUUGAAACUGCAGGGCUAGAGUGUGGCAGAGGGGGGUGGAAUUCCAUGUGUAGCAGUGAAAUGCGUAGAGAUAUGGAAGAACAUCGAUGGCGAAGGCAACCCCUGGGUUAACACUGACGCUCAUGCACGAAAGCGUGGGGAGC